rnacentral:lncRNA from 1 species
CUCGAUGCAAUACCUGGAGUUAUUCCUUAUUGACAUUAAGUUAACAGUGUACUGAAAUUUAUACUUUUAACCAGUGAUCAGUUUUUUAUAAAUCAAACACAGAAUAUUACGUCGAAUAUUAAGUAUAAUCGACGUUUUAAUGUUCUAGUAUGACGUCGAAUAUUAUGAAUAUUCGACAUUUUACUUUUAAAGAGAUGUAAAAUAUUAUUUUAAAAUAUAAUAUCAAGGUGUGUUAAUUAAUCUUGU